rnacentral:rRNA from 1 species
UACGAAGGGGGCUAGCGUUGUUCGGAAUUACUGGGCGUAAAGCGCACGUAGGCGGCUUGUUAAGUUAGGGGUGAAAUCCCGGGGCUCAACCCCGGAACUGCCUUUAAUACUGGCAAUCUCGAGUCCGAGAGAGGUGAGUGGAAUUCCGAGUGUAGAGGUGAAAUUCGUAGAUAUUGGGAAGAACACCGGUGGCGAAGGCGGCUCUCUGGACCGAGACUGACGCUGAGGCGCGAAAGCGUGGGGAGCAAACAGG